AUUUGUCAUCUAAGCUACCUGAGACCCGACAUUUGGCGACUCUGCAUCCUUAAAAGUAGGCCGAAUUAACUAUUAGCAGUUCCUCUUUGGAUUGUACUCGUAAAUGUACGGACAGCUACCACUGGAUUACUUUGAUAAGGAAGACAACUUGAAAAUGUGCAGAUUCUGAGGCGAGUUCUGCAGCGGUGAGUGUGACCACGGAUGUACGGAUGAAUAUCACAGCAUGAUUUUGAUUCAAAGACAACUUAAAAACAUGAAGAUUCUCAGGCAAGUUCGGCAGUAAUAAGAUGCGUCAAUGAAUUCCAAGCGGAUACGAAGACCUUUGUAUGCGAUGCUCAUCAGAGAUAAUGAUAUCCUUGGUAAAAGCCUCACCAAUGAGAACAGUCGUGCAGGCUGUCGUGGAGGGUCUUGCGGAGCACCGAGUCCUUGUCGUAGAUGCCCCACGUCGCCUGCAGCACUGAGUCGAGGAGGCAGUCGCCGGCUGUGCGGUUCCAAAG